UUUCCUUCGGGACUGAUUAUUUUGUGACUGAGUGGCGGACGGGUGAGUAACGCGUGGGUAACCUGCCUUGUACAGGGGGAUAACAGUUGGAAACGGCUGCUAAUACCGCAUAAGCGCACAGCAUCGCAUGAUGCAGUGUGAAAAACUCCGGUGGUAUAAGAUGGACCCGCGUUGGAUUAGCUAGUUGGUGAGGUAACGGCCCACCAAGGCGACGAUCCAUAGCCGGCCUGAGAGGAUGAACGGCCACAUUGGAACUGAGACACGGUCCAAACUCC
rnacentral:rRNA from 1 species